rnacentral:ncRNA from 1 species
GGCGGUUCACUCCACUUCUUGGCCGCCGUUUCAGAAAAAAGGAGGAAGUGUGCCCCACGACUCGGGGUGCGGCAGUGUGGAGACCUGUCGCAAAGCGGCGCGCGCAGGCGGCUGCGAGAGCACCAUGAAGGACCCGGGCGGCGCGAUGUGACCGCCCGUGUGCGUAGGCGGAGGCCGGGUGUUCAGAGUCAAGAGCUUAUGGCA